AGUGAACGCUGGCGGUAGGCCUAACACAUGCAAGUCGAACGGCAGCACAGUAAGAGCUUGCUCUUACGGGUGGCGAGUGGCGGACGGGUGAGGAAUACAUCGGAAUCUACUUUUUCGUGGGGGAUAACGUAGGGAAACUUACGCUAAUACCGCAUACGACCUACGGGUGAAAGCAGGGGAUCUUCGGACCUUGCGCGAUUGAAUGAGCCGAUGUCGGAUUAGCUAGUUGGCGGGGUAAAGGCCCACCAAGGCGACGAUCCGUAGCUGGUCUGAGAGGAUGACCAGCCACACUGGAACUGAGACACGGUCCAGACUCCUACGGGAGGAAGCAGUGGGGAAUAUUGGACAAUGGGCGCAAGCCUGAUCCAGCCAUACCGCGUGGGUGAAGAAGGCCUUCGGGUUGUAAAGCCCUUUUGUUGGGAAAGAAAAGCAGCAGGUUAAUACCCCGCUGUUCUGACGGUACCCAAAGAAUAAGCACCGGCUAACUUCGUG
rnacentral:rRNA from 1 species